rnacentral:rRNA from 1 species
CCACCACUAAGCCAGUGGUGAACUCCACAUACGCAUCCUUUGCUGAGGAUACGGUUAACGGAGCGAAAGCGACGUUCAACCUCAAAAGAAGCAGAGGGGGCUUAGUGGUGGGGUGACUGCGUACCUUUUGUAUAAUGGGUCAGCGACUUAUAUUCUGUAGCAAGGUUAACCGUAUAGGGGAGCCGGAGGGAAACCGAGUCUUAACCGGGCGUUAAGUUGCAGGGUAUAGACCCGAAACCCGGUGAUCUAGCCAUGGGCAGGUUGAAGGUUGGGUAACACUAACUGGAGGACCGAACCGACUAAUGUUGAAAAAUUAGCGGAUGACCUGUGGCUGGGGGUGAAAGGCCAAUCAAACCGGGAGAUAGCUGGUUCUCCCCGAAAGCUAUUUAGGUAGCGCCUCGUGAAUUCAUCUCCGGGGGUAGAGCACUGUUUCGGCUAGGGGGCCAUCCCGGCUUACCAACCCGAUGCAAACUGCGAAUACCGGAGAAUGUUAUCACGGGAGACACACGGCGGGUGCUAACGUCCGUCGUGAAGAGGGAAACAACCCAGACCGCCAGCUAAGGUCCCAAAGUCAUGGUUAAGUGGGAAACGAUGUGGGAAGGCCCAGACAGCCAGGAUGUUGGCUUAGAAGCAGCCAUCAUUUAAAGAAAGCGUAAUAGCUCACUGGUCGAGUCGGCCUGCGCGGAAGAUGUAACGGGGCUAAACCAU